rnacentral:SRP_RNA from 1 species
GCCGGGCGUGGUGGUGGGCGCCUGUAGUCUCAGCUACUUGGGAGGCUGAGGCAGGAGAAUGGCGUGAACCCGGGAGGCGGAGCUUGCAGUGAGCCGAGAUCAUGCCACUGCACUCCAGUCUGGAUGACAGAGUGAGACUCCAUCUCACAAAAAAAAAAAAAAAAAAAAAAGAGCUUUAGAGGUCUCUCAAUUUUUUUUUUUUUUUGAGAUGGAGUUUCACUCUUGUCGCCCAAGCUGGAGUGCAAUGGCAUGAUCUCGGCUCACUGCAACCUCAGCCUCCUGAGUUCAAGCGAUUCUCCUGCCUCAG